rnacentral:rRNA from 1 species
AUGUCGGUGUCGUGCGGGCUGGAGUGCGUGCUGUGCGUGGGGUGCGUGCGCUGGGCGUGGAAGCGCCUCACCUACAUCGGCGCCUACGACAGCGAGACCUGGCCGCCCGCCUCGCCCGACGACUUCGAGCCCGUCCCGCGCAUCUGCCAGAUCAUCAUGGCCAUCUCCGACGACCUCGACAACCCCAAGCUCAUGCCGGCCACCCGCGGCUACACCCAGAUCGACGGCGCCGGCGUCCACAAGCGCACCACCUACGACGAGGUCGGCACCGCCUGCCCGCCCUACAUCGUCUACGUCGACCGCCGCCGCAACGAGGUCGUCCUCGCCGUCCGCGGCCUCAACCUCGUCCGCAACGCCGACUACAAGGUCCUGAUGGACAACAAGCUCGGGAUGCAGAUGUUCGACGGCGGCUACGUGCACCACGGGCUGCUCAAGGCGGCCCAGUUCAUACUGGAGAGGGAGACGGAGACGCUGCGGGAGCUGCUGCGCCAGCAGGGGCCCGAUUGCACGCUCAUCUUCGCGGGCCACUCGCUCGGCUCCGGCAUCGCCGCGCUCAUGACGGUGCUGGUGGUCAACAACCGCAAGGCGUUCGGCAAUAUACCCAGGAGCCACAUACGGUGCUACGCGCUCGCACCGGCCCGGUGCAUGUCGCUCAACCUCGCCGUCAAGUACGCCGACGUGAUCUACUCUAUCGUGCUGCAGGAUGAUUUUUUGCCAAGAACACCAACACCAUUGGAAUAUAUUUUCGGCUCUAUAUUCUGCUUGCCCUGCUUGUUAUUCCUGUUUUGCUUGAGAGAUACAUUUAAACAAGACAAGAAGAAGUUUAAAGAUCCAAGAAGAUUGUAUGCUCCUGGUCGGAUGUAUCAUAUCGUCGAGAGGAAAUUUUGCAGCUGCGCAAGAUACCCACCUGAGGUGAGAACUGCUAUUCCAGUGGAAGGAAGGUUUGAGCAUAUUGUGUUAUCAUGCAGUACCACUGCUGAUCAUGGCAUUAUUUGGAUUGAGCGAGAAUCCGCCUUGGCUUUAGAGCUAAUGAAGGAAAAUGAGAAGGCAACAACUCCUCCUGCUGAACAAAAGAUGGAGAGAUUGCAAAGUUUCAAGGAAGAACACAAGAAUGCGCUCCAUAGAGCGAAAACCUUGGAUGUUCCUCACGCGAUAGACAUCUCUGAAGAGGAAACCCAUGAGGGCGCUUGCCCUGCGCCAUCCUCUGACACUCACAGCGAGACGACUUCAUCAGAACCGAAAUCUGCAGGAAGGACCAGUUGGGAUGAGCUGGUUGACAAGCUUUUCACCAGGGAUGAAGAUGGGAAGCUUAUUGUGAACAGGGACAUGGUGGCGAGGGACGUUGUUAUCGAGUAG